GGAGGUGUAGCUCAGUGGUAUAGCACUUGCCUAUCAUGUUUGAAGCCCUGGGUUUGGUCCCUAGCACCACCC
rnacentral:tRNA from 1 species